rnacentral:misc_RNA from 1 species
AAGUCGUAACAAGGUUUCCGUAGGUGAACCUGCGGAAGGAUCAUUAACACGAUUCAUUUCGAUUGUCGAAUCGAAACUAUUCACCCCAACCAUCUGGUAACGUCGAUUCCUUGCUAUAUGGCUGGAAUCGAUCUUUUUUUUCAUACACUCCAACGAUUCACCUUUUCAAACCCCUGUGGUCUGAUCAUCCUCUGAGUCUCUCUUUGACCCCCGAUCGCGAUUCGAUUUGAUUCGAAUCGUCGAUUUGGAGUCAUUGGUUACUCUGGUUGCUUUGUCAACAAUAAGAGUCACAACUCUUAGCAAUGGAUAUCUUGGUUCUC